rnacentral:rRNA from 1 species
AGCUUGCUAUCUAGAGACCGGCGCACGGGUGAGUAACGCGUAUGCAACCUACCUUAUACAGGUGAAUAGCCCGGAGAAAUUCGGAUUAAUGCACCAUGGUUUAAUUUUGUGGCAUCUCAAGAUUAAUAAAGAUUUAUCGGUAUAAGAUGGGCAUGCGUAUCAUUAGCUAGUUGGUGUGGUAACGGCAUACCAAGGCAACGAUGAUUAGGGGUCCUGAGAGGGAGAUCCCCCACACUGGUACUGAGACACGGACCAGACUCCUACGGGAGGCAGCAGUGAGGAAUAUUGGUCAAUGGAGGCAACUCUGAACCAGCCAUGCCGCGUGCAGGAAGAAUGUCCUAUGGAUUGUAAACUGCUUUUGUACGGGAAGAAACAUCGCUACGUGUAGCGACUUGACGGUACCGUAAGAAUAAGGAUCGGCUAACUCCGUGCCAGCAGCCGCGGUAAUACGGAGGAUCCGAGCGUUAUCCGGAAUUAUUGGGUUUAAAGGGUUCGUAGGCGGUUUAUUAAGUCAGUGGUGAAAUUUCUUAGCUUAACUAAGACACGGCCAUUGAUACUGGUAGACUUGAAUAGUAUGGAAGUAACUAGAAUAUGUAGUGUAGCGGUGAAAUGCUUAGAUAUUACAUGGAAUACCAAUUGCGAAGGCAGGUUACUACGUACUUAUUGACGCUGAUGAACGAAAGCGUGGGUAGCGAACAGGAUUAGAUACCCUGGUAGUCCACGCCGUAAACGAUGGAUACUAGCUGUUCGGUUUUCGGACUGAGUGGCUAAGCGAAAGUGAUAAGUAUCCCACCUGGGGAGUACGUUCGCAAGAAUGAAACUCAAAGGAAUUGACGGGGGCCCGCACAAGCGGUGGAGCAUGUGGUUUAAUUCGAUGAUACGCGAGGAACCUUACCAGGGCUUAAAUGUAGAUUGACGUAUUUGGAAACAGAUAUUUCUUCGGACAAUUUACAAGGUGCUGCAUGGUUGUCGUCAGCUCGUGCCGUGAGGUGUCAGGUUAAGUCCUAUAACGAGCGCAACCCCUAUUGUUAGUUACCAUCGAGUCAAGUCGGGAACUCUAACAAGACUGCCGGUGCAAACCGUGAGGAAGGUGGGGAUGACGUCAAAUCAUCACGGCCCUUACGUCCUGGGCUACACACGUGCUACAAUGGCCAGUACAGAAAGCAGCUACCAGGCAACUGGAUGCGAAUCUCAAAAACUGGUCUCAGUUCGGAUUGGAGUCUGCAACUCGACUCUAUGAAGCUGGAAUCGCUAGUAAUCGGAUAUCAGCCAUGAUCCGGUGAAUACGUUCCCGGGCCUUGUACACACCGCCCGUCAAGCCAUGGAAGCUGGGGGUACCUGAAGUCGGUGACC